rnacentral:rRNA from 1 species
CCUACGGUGUGCAGCAGUGAGGAAUAUUGGUCAAUGGUCGGGAGACUGAACCAGCCACGCCGCGUGAGGGAUGAAGGUAUAGAGUAUCGUAAAUCUCUUUUGUCAGGGAACAAAGGCGGGGACGUGUCCCCGGAUGAGUGUACCUGAAGAAAAAGCAUCGGCUAACUCAGUGCCAGCAGCCGCGGUAAUACGGGGGAUGCGAGCGUGAUCCGGAUGUAUUGGGUUUAAAGGGUGAGCAGGCGGUUUGUUAAGUCAGCGGUCAAAGCCCGGGGCUCAACCCCGGCCCGCCGUUGAUACUGGCAGUCUCGAGUUGGAGAGAGGUAUGCGGAAUGCGCGGUGUAGCGGUGAAAUGCGUAGAUA